rnacentral:pre_miRNA from 1 species
AAAAAGACAAACCCUGGUUUCUGUGUCCAACGUUUGACCGUCCGUCUUAUUUAAAAAAAUUAUGAAAAAAAUUAAAAAGACAAGUCACGCAUAAAAUAUUAAUCAUGUUUUAUCAUCUAACAACAAUGAAAAUACAAAUUAUAAAAAUAUUUCAUAUAAGACGGACAAUCAAAGUUGGACACAGAAACCUAGAGUUUGUCUUUUU